GUACUUUCAGUCGUGAGGAAGGCGGCGUCGUUAAUAGCGGCGUUGUUUGACGUUAGCGACAGAAGAAAGCACCGGCUAACUCCGUGCCAGCAGCCGCGGUAAUACGGGAGGGUGCGAGCGUUAAUCGGAAUUACUGGGCGUAAAGCGCAUGCAGGUGGUUUGUUAAGUCAGAUGUGAAAGGACCCGGGGCGUCAACCUACGGAAUUGCAUUUAGUAAACUAGGCAGACUAGAGUACUGUAGAGGGGGGUAGGAAUUUCAGGUGUAGCGGUGAAAAUGCGUAGAGAUCUGAAGGAAUACCGGUGGCGAAGGCGGCCCCCUCGGACAGAUACUGACACUCAGAUGCGAAAGCGUGGGGAGCAAACAGGAUUAGAUACCCUGGUAG
rnacentral:rRNA from 1 species